rnacentral:rRNA from 1 species
UGAUUUAGCGGCGGACGGGUGAGUAAUGCCUAGGAAUCUGCCUGGUAGUGGGGGAUAACGUCCGGAAACGGGCGCUAAUACCGCAUACGUCCUACGGGAGAAAGCAGGGGACCUUCGGGCCUUGCGCUAUCAGAUGAGCCUAGGUCGGAUUAGCUAGUUGGUGAGGUAAUGGCUCACCAAGGCGACGAUCCGUAACUGGUCUGAGAGGAUGAUCAGUCACACUGGAACUGAGACACGGUCCAGACUCCUACGGGAGGCAGCAGUGGGGAAUAUUGGACAAUGGGCGAAAGCCUGAUCCAGCCAUGCCGCGUGUGUGAAGAAGGUCUUCGGAUUGUAAAGCACUUUAAGUUGGGAGGAAGGGCAUUAACCUAAUACGUUAGUGUUUUGACGUUACCGACAGAAUAAGCACCGGCUAACUUCGUGCCAGCAGCCGCGGUAAUACGAAGGGUGCAAGCGUUAAUCGGAAUUACUGGGCGUAAAGCGCGCGUAGGUGGUUCGUUAAGUUGGAUGUGAAAGCCCCGGGCUCAACCUGGGAACUGCAUCCAAAACUGGCGAGCUAGAGUACGGUAGAGGGUGGUGGAAUUUCCUGUGUAGCGGUGAAAUGCGUAGAUAUAGGAAGGAACACCAGUGGCGAAGGCGACCACCUGGACUGAUACUGACACUGAGGUGCGAAAGCGUGGGGAGCAAACA